GGCCCGCACAAGCGGCGGAGCAUGUGGUUUAAUUCGAUGAUACGCGAGGAACCUUACCAGGGCUUAAAUGCAGAGCGAAUAGUUUGGAAACAGACUAGCCUUCGGGCGAUCUGCAAGGUGCUGCAUGGCUGUCGUCAGCUCGUGUCGUGAAAUGUUGGGUUAAGUCCCGCAACGAGCGCAACCCCCUAUCUUUAGUUGCCAGCGAGUAAUGUCGGGGACUCUAAAGAAACUGCCUACGCAAGUAGAGAGGAAGGCGGGGACGACGUCAAGUCAUCACGGCCCUUACGUCCUGGGCCACACACGUGCUACAAUGGUCGGUACAGAGGGCAGCUACCGGGUGACCGGAUGCGAAUCUCUAAAGCCGAUCUCAGUUCGGAUUGGAGUCUGCAACUCGACUCUAU
rnacentral:rRNA from 1 species